GCUGCCUGGGUCGGCUGGGCCUGUGGGCCUGCGUCCGACAGCGCGCGGCCGUGCUUUCUAAGCGGGCUCGGCAGCACCAGACUUCACCGGCCCGGCGCGGGGCUCACAAGUGCUCGCACUCCCUGCGGCCGGCGCGCUGACCGGAGCCUCUGGGUCUCGCACGCAGCAGCUGCAGACGCUGCCCGGCGCGGUGGGGCUGUGAGCAAAACGGCCCGCCGGUGUGGUUGCCCAGACUGUGCUGGGCCCUCCUAGGUGGAUGGCCCUGCCCCAGCCUAACUUCUGUACCCCAGCAUAACCUCCAAAGUAACAGCCGUGCCCUGGGAGCCUGUUCAACACUGAACAUAUCCCACAAUAACACUGUUCCAGCGUCGCUGGUAAAAAGCAGAAAUGGCUUCGCUGGAGGCAUCGACAAAUCUAAUGCAGUAACCUCAUUUUACAGAAGAGAACUCUAAGAGGAUAACUAACUUGGCCAAGAUCACAUGAUGUUUCUGGAUGAGAUUAGCAUUCAAAUUCGUGGACUCAUUAAAGUAGAUGGCUCUCUCCAAUAUGGGUGGGCAUCAUCCAAUCUGUUGAAGGCGUGAAGAGAACAAGAGAAGGAGGAAGGAAGAAUUCACCUUUUUUCUUGCUGCCCACCUGCUUGGGCUGGGACAUUGCAUCUCACCUUCUCCAGCCUUUGGAUGAGGAUUUACACCCUGGUUCUCAGGCCUUCAGGCUCUAACUGGAGCUACACUAUCAACUUUCCUGGGCCUCCAGAUUGCAGAUGGUGGAUCACGGUACUUUUUAGCCUCCAUCAUAAUAUGAGAAAAAAGAGGCACAGUGAAGCUAAAUAUAUUGGCUAAAGAUCACAAAGCUAUUACUAUUGGUGAGGAAUUUUGGAGUAAUUUGAUUGGGUGUUCUGGCUCAAGGGUCUCUUAUGAGUUUGCAGUCAGAUGUCAGCUGUGGCUACAUCAUCUGGACACAUGACUGAGGGUGGAACAUUCAAUUUCAAGAGUUGAAAUUUUUCAAGAUGAAAAGUUGCUAAAGAAAGAGAAAGGGAAGCGGUUUGCUCCAGUAUUCCUCUUUCCACCUUCCCACUGACUGGGAAGCGGCGGUUAGCAGAGCCACAGUCUUGGAUUAGAGAUAAGAGGGACAUGUUGAGGAAGGUGGAGUCUCCCCCACAGCCCUGGACCAGUACGGAAUCCCUGUAUUCUAGGAUUUGGCAAGCUGUCCACUGAAACAUUAUUUUUCCCAGCCUUCUUUGCAGAGAAUGUAGACACGAUGGUUGGAGUUCCAGAAGUUGUCUUGGACGAUGAGGUAGCUUUGAGGAUAGAAGCCUUUGGCUAAGGAAGGUGGAGCACAAAGACAGAAGACGAAGAGCAUUCCUGAGGACUGUGGAGUUCCAUGCCAGCCUUGCAUUGUCUAUCUUGUUACUUCUGUGGGAGAAAAAAUACAGUAAACCUCUAUCUUGCUUAAGCUC
rnacentral:lncRNA from 1 species